UUUAACAAGUUCCAUGAGAGAACCAGAUAAGGAACUUGAAACAAUUAUCUUCUUUGUGUUCAGAGUAACUAGUCAGAUAUCUGGUUCAACUCUCAACGAAUUCAAAUAAGGAAACAACAAAGGGAACAAAUAUGGACCAAUACCUCCGCUCGCAAUAUAAGUCAACUCUACAACUGUUAAAAUUAUUGCACUAUACUCGCAAUAGUGUUGCAGUACUGUUGAAGCAUGCAGCGCACCGGACACUCCCUUGCAUAAUCUUUAAUAUUCUCACACAUACAUUAUCAACAUGAAGCAAGGGGGUUUCACUCAACACUUGCAAAACCUAAAACAUUCAUCUUCUCAAGUGUGCAACCACCCUUAUUUCCACUGAGGCAUUGAAGAACAAAUCAGCAACAGAACAAGGAACUGUUCCCAACAUUGAUUAUGUCCUAAAACAUUCAUCUUCUCAAGUGUUCAUGCGCCUUUAUUUCCUCUGAGGCAUUGAAGAACAAAUCAGCAACAGAACAAGGACCCAUUCCCAACAAUGAUUUUGUGUCUUUGUUUCAUGUUAUUUAUUUGUAAUUCCUACGCAACUUUUUAGAAGCAUUUAGUAGGACAUCCUUGAAUCCAUUAUUGCUUUGGUUGUUUUGACUAGAGUUAGUCAAGUGUGUAGCUUUGUAAUAGAGUUAUUAUAAAGAGGUUUG
rnacentral:lncRNA from 1 species